CCAGAACUGUGAAAAAUAAGUGAUCAAGCUGUAGUUCACUUGAAACAAAGGGAUUGUGAUCUUUGUACACAAGACAUAUUUGAACAUAUUUCUUCAACAGAGAUUAACCUCAGACCUACUGUGUGACAUAAGUUAUUGAAAAUGCUGGAUUACGAGGGAGGUGGAUCACGAGGUCAAGAGAUCAAGACCAUCCUGGCCAACAUGAUGAAACCCUGUCUCUACUAAAAUUAGCCAGGCAUGAUGGCGUGCACCUGUAGUCCCUGCUACUUAGGGGGCUGAGGCAGGAGAAUCACUUGAACCUGGGAGGCAGAGGUUGCAGUGAGCCCAUUUCGCACCACUGUACUCCAGCCUGAUGACAGAGCGAGACUCCAUUUCAAAGAAAAAGAAAAAAAAAAGAAAGAAAAUACUGGAUUAAUGUGCGAGGAGUUACUGGCUGAAGUCACACACAAAAAGCAUCUCUUUGUGUACGAUCCAUGAAUUUAAUGAUUUAUCUAUCAUACGUUUUUCUUUUCAAGAAACCGAGUAUAUGCGGAUGUGGUUAUGGAACUACUUCUUCAAAUACAAUGACGCAUGUUUAAAUCUUGCAUUGAUAUUUUACUUUUUUUUAAGUAGGUGUUCUUUCUUUUUCUUUUUCUUUAUUUUAUUAUUUUUUUUUAUUUUACUUUAAGUUCUGGGAUACAUGUACAGAAGCGUGCAGGUGUGUUACAUAGGUACACAUGUGCCAUGGUGGUUUGCUGCAUCUAUCAACCCAUCAUCUAGGUUUUAACACCUGCAUGCAUUAGGUAUUUGUCCUAAUGCCCUCCCUCCCCUUGCCCCCCACCCCCCAACAGGCCCUGGUGUGUGAUGUUCCCCUCCCUGUGUCCAUGUGUUCUUAUUGUUCAACUCCUACUUAUGAGUGAGAACAUGCAGUGUUUGGUUUGCUGUUCCUGUGUUAGUUUGCUGAGGAUGAUGGUUUCCAGCUUCAUCCAUGUCCUGCAAACGACAUGAACUCAUUCUUUUUUAUGGCUACAUAGUAUUCCACAGUGUAUAUGUGCCACAUUUUC
rnacentral:lncRNA from 1 species